AGACUGGUCUUGAAUUCCUGACCUCAGGUAGUCCACCCGCCUCAGUCUCCCAAAGUGCUGGGAUUACAGGCGUGAGCCACUGUGCCCGGCGGAGGUAAAGGUAAAACAUGUUUUCUUGUUCAUGUUUGUUAUUGUAACUUUGUUACAUUUAAUGAACAAAUUAGAUAAAAAGCACUAUGCUCUUAUGGUGUUUAAUCUGUGAGAAAUGAUUGUGGGGGUGGGACUAGUUAUGACCAUUCACAGUUGGUGCACUUCAGUUAGUCUCACAGAGGAAAUGUGGACAGUGAAUUCACUUGGCAAGUCAGUCAUGCAAAGACGACUUAGAAAUCUUAAUGUUUGUAAGCAGACAAAAAAUGUGUCUGGAAGGAUUUUCACCCAGUUAAAUGGUAUUUGCUCCUUGGGUGUAGAGGGAGGGAAGGGAUGGGGCAGAGGGGAGUGUCAGAGUGAACAUUCACUUUAACUUCAUGCACACGUGGAAAUGUUUGAAAUGUUCACAGUAAAUUUUAUAAUUUCAGAAAAACCACUUAAGGUUGAAAAGAGAAAUUUAAGAAAUUGCUGAUGGAAUAAAAACAUAACAGAACUAGAACACUGAAGGAAAUGAAAGCAGGAAGGAAAGCACCAGAAGUGAUUUGGAAGAGAAAGUCUAAAAUGAAUGUGAACAACAGAGUGAUCAGAAGAGUAUAGAGAAUUAAUAGUUUCUUUAAACAAGCCAUCUCACAAUGGAAGCCUGUUUAUCUUGAAAUUGCUGUGAUUACUAUUCACUCUGCCUUUGAAAGAACUGCAGAAAUUCAUAGGGCAAUGUUAAGUGUUUGUGUCUCCAAAAAAGAUGUUGGAGUCGUUACCCUCAGAACCUCAGGUCAAGAACCAAGGAAAGAAGCAGGGCCCAUGUCCAACUCUGGCAAAGACAGGAAACUCCUGGAAAAAGGGGAAGAGCAAAGUCCAACAGAGGUCGAUGGUGUGGUUUUAAGAGAUCUUACCCACUGAGGCCACAAGCGAAAAGUUCUCCAGCAUCACAUCAUGAUACAGGCACCUCUGAGCUUCAUCAAGGAGGCCCCACUCCUCCUGGGAGAAGUACACAGCAAUAUCCUCAAAGGUCACAUGGCCCUGCAUGAUGGGGGCAGGUGAGAUCAUGAGCAGACUCAAUCCCCAGGAAUCCCAGUAAAUCUCCCUCCUCCCUAGUUCUCCAAC